UUUCUCGAUCAUGAUUGGCUGAGGCUCAUUUAACCGGUGGAUUCUCCCGCGUUCGUUUCUCCAAGGCGCCGACCCGUCUGACCGUUGUAUAGCUGGCGUCUACGUAUGUGAGCAGACGGUGAUUUCGUUUCGUGGAUUUCGAAGAUGUUCGAGCCAUGGUCGAACGCCUGAAUGAAAGACGCCGACAGCUGUUCGUUGCCUUGCGAUCCGCGAGCAUGUGGCCCCUGUCACCUGAAAAUUCUACAGUUGUGCUGGGAUGAAGCGGACGGCUUCUGCGACUCAUCACGUGCUAUGUACGUGUGUAAUAAUAUCUACUUUGUCCAAACCUAAUAGGUUCCCUUAAGGAUUGUAUAAUAUGAUAGUCACGCUUUCUGUUGCUCGGCACUAUUUAUUCUUUAUUUAUUCUGCAGUAUUCUGUAAUAAUCGUGUAGAUUUACUUGCAUUCAAAUGUUGCUCCUUGUUUAUAUGUUUACUGUGUCAAUAAAUUUGUACAUGUGAAUUC